AUUGAACGCCGGCGGCAUGCUUUACACAUGCAAGUCGAACGGUAACAGGUUAAGCUGACGAGUGGCGAACGGGUGAGUAAUACAUCGGAACGUGCCCGGUCGUGGGGGAUAACGCAGCAAAAGCUGCGCUAAUACCGCAUACGAUCUGAGGAUGAAAGCGGGGGACCGUAAGGCCUCGCGCGAUCGGAGCGGCCGAUGUCAGAUUAGGUAGUUGGUGGGGUAAAGGCUCACCAAGCCGACGAUCUGUAGCUGGUCUGAGAGGACGACCAGCCACACUGGGACGGAGACACGGCCCAGACUCCUACGGGAGGCAGCAGUGGGGAAUUUUGGACAAUGGGCGCAAGCCUGAUCCAGCAAUGCCGCGUGCAGGAAGAAGGCCUUCGGGUUGUAAACUGCUUUUGUACGGAGCGAAAAGGCUCUCUCUAAUACAGGGGGCUCAUGACGGUACCGUAAGAAUAAGCACCGGCUAACUACGUGCCAGCCGCCGCAGUAA
rnacentral:rRNA from 1 species